CGCUGGCCGCAGGCCUAACACAUGCAAGUCGAGCGGUAGCACAGAGAGCUUGCUCUCGGGUGACGAGCGGCGGACGGGUGAGUAAUGUCUGGGAAACUGCCUGAUGGAGGGGGAUAACUACUGGAAACGGUAGCUAAUACCGCAUAACGUCGCAAGACCAAAGUGGGGGACCUUCGGGCCUCAUGCCAUCAGAUGUGCCCAGAUGGGAUUAGCUAGUAGGUGGGGUAAUGGCUCACCUAGGCGACGAUCCCUAGCUGGUCUGAGAGGAUGACCAGCCACACUGGAACUGAGACACGGUCCAGACUCCUACGGGAGGCAGCAGUGCGGAAUAUUGCACAAUGGGCGCAAGCCUGAUGCAGCCAUGCCGCGUGUAUGAAAAAGGCCUUCGGGUUGUAAAGUACUUUCAGCGAGGAGGAAGGCAUUAAGGUUAAUAACCUUAGUGAUUGACGUUACUCGCAGAAGAAGGACCGGCUAACUCCGUGCCAGCAGCCGCGGUAAUACGGAGGGUGCAAGCGUUAAUCGGAAUUACUGGGCGAAAAGCGCACGCAGGCGGUCUGUUA
rnacentral:rRNA from 1 species